UUUUUUUUUUUUUUUUUUUUUUUUUUUC
rnacentral:ribozyme from 2 species